CGGGAGCUGAGAAGUUGCAGGGUUGAGUUGGUCCCGGCAAGUCCUUGAGCAGUUUGUUCCUCUGUCUUCCCGCUUCCUGGUGCCCCGACUGCGUCCCCACGAACGCCCCGUCCUUACCGCCGGCUGCUGUGGAGUGCCUCGCUGUCUCCCAGGUGAUCCACCCACCUCGGCCUCCCAAAGUGCUGGAAUUAUAGGCGUGAGCCACUGCGCACGGCCUGGGGAGGUUUUAUUUCUUGACAAAGGUAUUUGAUACUCGUGCAGUCCCUGGAGGGUCUCACUGGAGAGACAACAUUUAGGCUGAGAUCUGAUUAACAGGAGGCAGCUGCAGUGCAGAGGUCAAAAGGGAGGGUGUUCCAGGCAGAGAAAACAGCCUGUGCAAAGGCCCUGAGGCAGAAACAAACUCUACUUGAGGUCAGCCUGGUUAGAAAGCCCAACUCAAAAUAGAAAGUAUUACAUGAUAAGGUCUGAGGCAGGCUGGACCCAGAUCUUACAGGACCUUGUUAAUAAGGAUCCCAUUUGGUCCCCCACAGUCCUGAGAAGCGGGCAGGGCUGUGGGAAACAGCAGAUAUUUAGUGGUAAGCCUGAGAUCAGAACCCAAGUCUGCACUUCCUAGUCACGUUCUCCCUGUAGUGCUAAGCCCAGAGACCUGAGCUGUUAACCUAGAACAGUGUGCUUCCUAAGCCUUAAUGUGCAUACCCAUCGCCUGGAGCUCGCCUUAAGAUGUAGGUUCUGCCUGAAGCCCAAGUUCAUUUAGUAUGUCAUGGUUAAUUCAGAGUAAAAUCAAGAGUUAGUACUUGAUUUAUGCUUGUUAUAUAAAGAAAGAGACAACUUCACUGUAUGAUCAUUUUGUCACUUUUCAAAAGCAUUUAAUUCCCAUUCAAUUGAAAAUGUUUCAAGAACAAACCUGUUUGGUCAUUUUAUUGAUAUUGCAC
rnacentral:lncRNA from 10 species